rnacentral:rRNA from 1 species
UAUUCUAAAACUUUCAACAACGGAUCUCUUGGUUCUGGCAUCGAUGAAGAACGCAGCGAAAUGCGAUAAGUAAUGUGAAUUGCAGAAUUCAGUGAAUCAUCGAAUCUUUGAACGCACAUUGCGCCCCUUGGUAUUCCGAGGGGCAUGCCUGUUCGAGC